UAUGGCAUAAGUACAACUGCAAUUGCAAUAAAUAAAAAAGUUUCGUGGAAAAAUCGUUAUGUACUUGGAUAGAUUGUGGCUAUAUCUGCUUGGACCAUAAUUUGUUUUGACAGUUUCUGUGUGUUAUUUGCUUGAUUAUCCAGUAGUACUAUAUAUAAUCUACAUCUCAUGUUCUACCUGUUUGGGUGAUAAGCAAUGAACAUGUAACUUUUCAUAUAUUUGAGCAUGCUGAACUUUUCAUUGCUUGGCUGCAGGUUGAUAAUGCAACCGGACAUUCAGUUGCUCAAGAGUUAAAUAUAUCAGGCUGGACCGAAGAGUUCUUUGGUUCUCUUUUACAUGAUAGAUGUCAAAGACGCAGAAGAACAAAUCCACUAAACACCAUCUUGGUGGUCUGAAGUGACACAUGAGGAAAGGCACUGGAGCUGUACGAGAACAUGCAUAUCAAGGCGGUGGUGGGUGCAAGAA